UCGCAUACCCUCUCGCCCUUUCUGCUGGGCCUACAGCUUUUACAUGUCUCUCCAUGACUCUCUUCCUUUUGUCUGCCUCCUCAAUGGCUCCAGAGUCCUAAAGAAAUGUUCAGCUUUGAAGGCUGGCCUAAAAAAAUGGUAAUUUUCCAGACAAAGGCCAGGUGUUACUUCCAAUUCAUUCAGUAUGCAUCCCUAUUAUCCUGCGGGUCAGCUCCCGCUGAGCGCGCUCCAUGGGUGUUCCGACUGCGUAAGGCCUGUGAGAUUUGCCCCGUGUGACUGAACUGCAGAUGGAACUUUCAUAUCUCUUAUUUUAGCAGCAGUCAAUUUGCCAAACUUUCUUAAUAGCAAGCUGGAAGGUGAUUUCUGUGUCACAGCCUCAGAGCUUUCUCAUGCCAGCCAGAGGAGGAGGCGAGGUGUCCAUUGUCAGAAGAGGGCCGGAUAUGAGAGCUCCGGCCUGCGGGCAAGGGUGACCAUCAGCAAGCUCCCACCGCGCCUGUGCCACUACAGGGGGCACGGAUUUUGGCUCGUGGGAUUUUGGCUUAUCAGAAUUUGGCUCGUCGUGCCUUUUCCUGCUCCCCCUGGAGAGGCAAUACCAGCUCCCCUCAGAGGCAGCCCAGCAGGAGGAGAUGCGGGCCAGGCUGUGCAGAGCAGACUUCCCUGGGCACACCGGGGCUGCACAUCUGGGUCAGGGCUGAACGGAGCCUUGGCAGCGCUCGCACAGUGCCAGGAUUCCGUAACUCCUUCUGGAGCCACCAUCAUCUGUGCAGAUACCUCUUCGUAGCAAGACAGAGUGGGACAUGCACCAUACCAUCUAAAUGAUGAGUACAAAAAGAAGGAAAAGGAGAAAAAAAAGAUAUUUAAAUGAGACUGGGACGUCAUAAAUAAAUGGCUCAUUGCAUUAGACAGAAAAAAAAGAGAAGAUAAAUUUUUCUGCAAGGCACCCCAAACCAGCCAUGCUUUCUGCAAGGCACCCUAAACCAGCCAUGCUAUGGGGAGGAUCUAGGCAAGGCAACAAAGGUGAUGGAGAAGUACAAUGAGUGGCAGUGAGGAUUCUGUGCUUACACAGACACUGUGAGAGCAACCGUGAGGGGGCUCAGCAAUUAAACAGAAGCAAAGGGCUGUGAUUAAGCACAAACCCAACAAACCCAUGUUUUGACUGGGAGACAGAUGACUUGAAUGCAGCUACUCACGGUUUUUGCUGAAGAGGGUGAGAGGAGAAGAUCAACCAAGCCCAGGAUGACAAACCACAAGUUCACCUCGAUGUGGUGAAAGGCACCUUGGAAUGUGGAUCUUUAAGUGUGUGUUCAGAUUUCAUUACAGCCAUGGCAGCUGGCAGGGGCCUCUGUGUGAAAGUGUUUAGCAGAAGAGAAAUGGACUUAAUCACGGGCUUGGACGCUCUUCUGUGUUUCAAGUAGACAGUGCUGAAGAUGAUGUGAGGCCUGUAGUUACAGGGGUUUUGAAUAUCUAAACACUAUUUCACAACUUCUUUUUUUCCCUGUCCAGGCCUCCACCCUUUUGGUCAGUGCACAGGGAUUGUCCCAUUAACUGGAAGGAACUGGGGAGACCAAGAUAGUGAGGAAAGCUUGCCUUACUGAAAGUAAAAGGAACUAUUUACUAACUACUGCCAAAUACUCACUGGGAAAAAGAGCAAGACACAGACCAUAAAAUUCUUACAUCUGUUGACCAUUUAAUCUUUUGU